rnacentral:lncRNA from 1 species
AGUUGAUAGAGGUAACGGCAGAGAGAGGCAGUAUAGAGAGGCAAAGAGAGGCAGCAUAUAGUGGUAGUGUCACGGUUGUCGUAGGAAGGAGCGGACCAAAGUGCAGCGUGUGUGUCGUUCCACAUUUUAUUUUCACUGUGAAACUAUGCAAUACAUAAACUGAAUAACAAAACAACAGACCAUGACGCAGAGGUGAAAUAUACACUAACUCAAAGACAAUCUCCCACAAACCCAGGUGGAAAAAAACCCUACUUAAGUAUGAUCUCCAAUUAGAGACAACGAGGAGCAGCUGCCUCUAAUUGGAGAUCAUCCCCCCAAAAAAACAACAUAGAAAUACCAAACUAGAACCUGACAACAUAGAAAUAGAAAACAUAGAAUAGAACAAAGAACUACAAAUCUCGAAUGCCCACCCAACUCACACCCUGACCUAACCAAAAUAGAGAAACAAAACAUCUCUCUCAGGUCAGGGCAUGACAGGUAGAGGCAGAGAGAGGUAGCAGAUAGAGGUAGUGGCAGAGAGAGGUAGUUGAUAGAGGUAGAGGCAGAGAGUUGGCAGAGCGAGGCAGAGAGAUAUUGCAGAUAGAAAACGAGGCAGAGAGAUGUAGCAGAUAGAAAAAGAGGCAGAGAGAUGUAGCAUAGAGAGAUAUAGCAGAUAGAAGAUUUAGCAGAUAGAAGUAGAGGCAGAGAGAUGUAGCAGAUAGAAGUAGAGGCAGAGAGAUGUAGCAGAUGUAAGUAGAGGCAGAGAGAUAGAGCAGAUGUAAGUAGAGGCAGAGAGAGGUAGCAGAUAGAAGUAGAGGCAGAGAGAGGUAGUUUAUAGAAGUAGAGGCAGAUAGUGAAAGUAGAGACAGGUAGAGGCAGAGAGAGGUAGCAGAUAGAAGUAGAGGCAGUGAGAGGUAGCAGAUAGAAGUAGAGGUAGAGAGAGGUAGUUUAUAGAAGUAGAGGCAGAGAGUGACAGUAGAGAGAGGUAGAGGCAGAGAGAUAAAGUAGAGAGAGGUAGAGGCAGAGAGAGUAAGUAGAGAGAGGCAGAGAGAGUAAGUAGAGAGAGGCAGUGGCAGAGAGUGGUAGUUGAUAGAGGUAGUGGCAGAGAGAGGUAGUGAUGGUGAGAGAGAGAGGUAGUGAUGGUGACAGAGAGAGGUAGUGAUGGUGACAGAGAGAGGUAGUGAUGGUGGCAGAGAGAGGUAGUGUCAGAGAGAGGUAGUGAUAGAGGCAGAGAGAGGCAGUAGAUAGAGGCAGAGGUCCUCUGUAGCUCAAUAGAGCAUGGUGUUUGCAGCGCCAGGAUUUUGGGUUAGGUUCUCGGGAUCACACAAAUGUAAAAAAAGGAUGGCAUAUAUGACUAUUAUAAUUAGCGGUAUUUUAAUAUAUUAUAGGAGAACAGAGAGUGGCAAAGAAACAGAGAGACUUGAAGACGAAGCAGAGAGAGGUAGCUGAUAGAGGUGGACUAUAGGGGAAGACAGAGGAAUGAAAUAGAGCCAUAGAAAGGCCAAUUAAUAAAGGUAGAGACAGAGAGAAUAGAGCAAUAGAAAGGCAAAUGAAUAGAGCAAUAGGAAGGCAGAUUAAUAAAGGUAGAGACGGAGAGAAUAUAGAGCAUAGAAAGGCAGAUUAAUAAAGGUAGAGACAGAGAAUAUAGACCAUAGAAAGGCAGAUGAAUAGAGGUAUAGACACAGAGAUUAUGGCCAUAGAAAGGCAGAUGGAUGGAGGUAGAGACAGAGAUUAGAGCCAUAGAAAGGCAGAUGGAUAGAGGUAGAGACAGAGAGAUUAGAGACAUAAAGGCAGAUGGAUAGAGGUAGGGACAGAGAGAUUAGACCCACAGAAAGGCAGAUGAAUAGAGGUAGCAACAGAGAGAUUAGAGCCAUAGAAAGGCAGAUGGAUAGAGGUAGAGACAGGGAGAUUAGAGACAUAGAAAGGCAAAUGGAUAGAGGUAGAGAGAGAGAUUAUAGACCAUAGAAAGGCAGAUUAAUAAAGGUAGAGACAGAGAGAAUAUAGACCAUAGAAAGGCAGAUUAAUAAAGGUAGAAACAGAGAAUAUAGACCAUAGAAUGGCAGAUGAAUAGAGGUAUAGAUACAGAGAUUAUAGCCAUAGAAAGGCAGAUGGAUAGAGGUAGAGACAGAGACAGUAGGCAGAGGAUGGUGCCUAUACACCAGUUCCUGGAACCAUAUACUUUAGGAGAGGCCUCUUAGUGAAGGGAAGGUGGUGGGCCAUUCCAUUCCUGGAAAACCCCAAGAGGACCAUGCUAAUGAGGAAAAUGUGGCCCAAGGCAUGUCGCUGCCUGCCUGCCUGCCUGCCUGCUUUCAAAAGCUUCCCUGCAGAGACCGAAGACUAUUUCUAGCAACAGCACUGCUUCUUAGAAGAACACUAUCUCGAACACUUGAUGGGGAUUUAGGCGGGAAGGGAACCUUCGAUAUACAGUAAAUAGCACUUAACGGAUUCAACAUGGGAUCAUUUGAAGACUUUAGUUCCAAAACGCAAUGUCCGCCAAUUUUUCACAUUUGUGUUUUUUAAUCAAAAAUCAUUGCUUAUGUGUACCUUCAUGUGGAUUCAGUGUUGGGGCGGUAAUCAAAAGGUUGCUGGUUUGAAUACCUGAACCGACAAGUUGAAAAAUCCUCCCAGAAGAUGUGUGUGUAAAAAAUUACUGUUGUCAGAUUUUUUUAUUCAUAGAUUUUAAAAUGUUUUUUUUUUGCAAAACGCUAUAUAUCCAUUAUUUAGCUGAAAUGGAAUGUCCGUAUGAUUUGAAAGUAGUCAGGUUACACUGAAGGGUUCCCUGAUAACUUCCAUAUAAAAAGCAGCAGAGUAGAGAGCCUGUCUUGUAACUACACUGAACAUCCAUAUAAUAUGCUCCAGAGUAGAGAUCCUGUCUAGUAACUACUCUGAACUUCCACAUAAUAAGCCCCGGAGUAGAGAUCCUGUCUAGUAACUACACUGAACAAAAUGAGAAACUCAACAAUUUCAAAGACUUCACUGAGCUACAGUUCAUAUAAGGAAAAAAGUAAAUUAAGAUAAAUUCAUGAGGCCUUAAUCUAUGGAUAUCAUAUGACUGGGAAUACAGAUAUGUGUCUGUUGGUCACAGAUACCUUUAAAAAAAGUUAGGGGCAUGGAUCAGAAAAUCAGUCAGUAUUUGGUGUGACCACCACUUCCCUCAUGCAGCGUGACACAUCUUCUUUGUAUAGAGUUGAUCAGACUGAUUGUGGCCUGUGGAAUGUUGUCCCACUCCUCUUCAAUAGCUGUUUAAAAAUGCUGGAUAUUGGCAGAAACUGGAACAUGCCGUCGGACACGUCAAUCCAGAGCAUCCCAGACAUGCCCAAGCCCAAGAAGUGACAUGUCUGUUGAGUAUGCAGGCCAUGGAAGAACUGGGACAUUUUCAGCUUACAGGUAUUGUGUACAGAUCCAGCAACAUGGGGCCGUGCAUUAUCAUGCUGAAACAUGAGGUGAUGGCAGCGGAUGAAUGGAACAGCAACGGAUCUCGUCAUGGUAUCUCUGUGCAUUGAAAUUGACAUCGAAAAAAUGCAAUUGUGUUUGUUGUCCGUAGCUUAUGCCUUCCUGCCAUACCAGAACCCCACUGCCACCAUUGGGCACUCUGUUCACAACGUUGAUAUCAGCAAACCACUAGCCCACAUGUCUGCCAUCUGCCUGGUGCAGUUAAAACCGGGUUUCAUCCGUGAAGAGCACUUUUUUCCAGCGUGCCAGUGGCCAUCGAAGGUGAGCAUUUUCCCACUGAAGUCAGCUACAAUGCCAAACUGCAGUCAGGUCAAGACUUUUGUGAGGAUGAUGAGCACGGUUGGUUUCUGACAGUAUGUGCAGAAAUUCUUUGGUUGUGCAAACCCACAGUUUCAUUAGCUGUCCGGGUGGCUGGUCUCAGACGAUCCUGCAGGUGAAGAAGCCAGAUGUAUAUAUAUAUAUAUAUAGAUACCGGGCUGACAUGGUUACACAUAACGUGGUUUGCAGUUGUGAGGCUGGUUUGACAUAAUGCCAAAUUCUCUAAAACGACGUUGGAGGCGGCUUGGUAGAGAGAAUUAACAUUAAAUUAUUUGUCAACAGUUCUGGUGGACAUUCUUGCAGUUAGCAUGCUCCCUAAAAUCUUGAUACAUCAGUGGCAUUGUGUUGUGUGACAAAACUACACAUUUUAGAGUGGCCUUUUAUGGGCCCCAGCACAAGGUAUACAUGUGUAAGGAUCAUGCUGUUUAAUUAUCGUCUUGAUAUGCCACACCUUACAGGUGGAGGGAUUAUCUUGGCAAAGGAGAAAUGCUCACUAAAAGGGAUGUAAACAAAUUUGUGCACAGUAUUUGAGAGAAAUACGCUUUUUGUGCAUAUGGAACAUUUCUGGGAUCUUUCAUUUCAACUCAUGAACAAUGGGACCAACACUUUACAUGUUGCGCUUACAUUUUUGUUCAGUAUAUAUCUGUGUCCCAAAUGACACCAUAUUCCCCAAAUAAUUCACUACUUUUGACCAGGGCCCAUACUUGGUAGCGAAUAGUAUGCCGUUUGGAACACAGCCUAUAACUGUCUUUCAAUGUUCAAUUACAAUCCAUUAGAUCUGUUAGUGGUCAAAAUUGAUUAGAACUCAACAGGAUCGACUAUAUUGUAUAGAAGAGGUUUUCACUAUCCUGUUAACUUAUUCAUGGUUUCUGAAUGGUGGUUUCAAAAGGGUUUCAGUAGUACACUGGUCCAUGGAACAACUUGGCAUGUUCUGUGUAUCAUACUGUGUAUAGUACUGUCCAGUAUAUCCUUGUGUAUAUAGUACUGACAAGUGUAACCUACUGUAUAUUGUACUGCCCAGGGUAUCCUACUGUACAUAGUACUGUCCACUAUAUACUAAGUUGUAUAAUACUGUCCAGUAUAUCCUAGUGUGUAUAGUACUGCCCAGUAUAUCCUUGUGUCUAUUGUACUGUCCAGUAUAUCCUAGUGUGUAUAGUACUGCCCAGUAUAUCCUGGUGUGUAUAGUACUGUCCAGUAUAUCCUAGUGUGUAUAGUACGGUCCAGUAUAUCCUACUGUCUAUAGUACUGUCCAGUAUAUCCUUGUGUAUAUAGUACUGUCCAGUAUAUCCUACUGUAUAUAGUACUGUCCAGUAUAUCCUAGGGUGUAUAGUACUGUCCAGUAUAUUCUUGUGUAUAUAGUACUGACAAGUGUAACCUACUGUAUAUUGUACUGCCCAGGGUAUCCUACUGUACAUAGUACUGUCCACUAUAUACUAAGUUGUAUAAUACUGUCCAGUAUAUCCUACUGUAUAUAGUACUGUCCAGUAUAUCCUAGUGUCUAUUGUACUGCCCAGUAUAUCCUAGUGUCUAUAGUACUGCCCAGUAUAUCCUAGUGUCUAUAGUACUGCCCAGUAUAUCCUAGUGUGUAUAGUACUCUCCAGUGUAUCCUAGUGUGUAUAGUACUGUCCAGUAUAUUCUAGUGUGUAUAGUACUGUCCAGUAUAUCCUAGCGUGUAUAGUACUGUCCGGUAUAUCCUAG